AAUAGGGUGCCUGUGUGUAUCUUUGUCAAUAUUUAUGUUGUACAAAGCUGAAGAUUUACUGCCAAGGAAUGAAAUGGAAUACUCAUUCAGGAUGAACUUUCCAAAAUGGCAGCUGAGUAACUGGGGGGGAUUGUAGACCUCUCAUCUCUUUAUUGAUUCAUUCGUUUAUCCAUCCAACAAACACUGAGCACCUGCUAUGCCAAACACUGUAUCGACUGCUGGGGAGACCAAGACAGAAAAAGCUACCUGGUAAUCAAAUAAACAGGAGCUGAAAAUGACCACUGGUUUGAAACACGCAGCCACCGGCAGUGCAACUCCUGUCUCAGUGCUGCGGUGAGGGCCGUGGUGGAUGCAGGGCUCUGAGCCAUGGAGGAGUCUUCAGCGCAGGAGUAAAGGAAUUGAUGUUGUCCUUCCAUCCAUCCACCACUCCACGUUGUGUGUCCAUUCCUUCAACAGGUAUUCAGUUUGGGUUCACCAACUUAUCUGUGGCCUCUUUCCAGUGACCCCUCUGUUGGCUCUGGAGAACAGUAUAUUGGAAAUCAGAGUGGGUACGUGGAAACUUGACUACCAAGCACAGACGCAUGGUGCCAGAAAAAGCCCAGGACAUCACAGUGCGGCAGCCCACCAUGCAAGGAACAGCAAUUCUGGCUGUGGUGGACACAUGUGUGUAAAAAGGCUUCAUGCGGUGAACACCUAGAAAAGUCCAAAAAUGCAUUGGCGUUGCUUCCUAAGGAAUCCAGUGUUGGGUAUUGUUUAAUAUGAGAGGGAGAUGCUAACACUAUCAUUGUUAUGAACAACAUAUUUGUUGUAACUGUAAUUAUUAUUUUAAUAUAUUUUCUUUACAAUUAUUA